rnacentral:rRNA from 1 species
GGGCGAGUAAAGUGGCGCACGGGUGAGUAACGCGUGGAUAAUCUACCCUUAAGAUGGGGAUAACGGCUGGAAACGGUCGCUAAUACCGAAUACGCUCCCGAUUUUACCGUUGGGGGGAAAGAUGGCCUCUGCUUGCAAGCUAUCGCUUAAGGAUGAGUCCGCGUCCCAUUAGCUAGUUGGCGGGGUAACGGCCCACCAAGGCGACGAUGGGUAGCCGGUCUGAGAGGAUGACCGGCCACACUGGAACUGGAACACGGUCCAGACUCCUACGGGAGGCAACAGUGGGGAAUAUUGCGCAAUGGGCGAAAGCCUGACGCAGCGACGCCGCGUGAGGGAUGAAGGUUCUCGGAUCGUAAACCUCUGUCAGGGGGGAAGAAACCCCCUCGUGUGAAUAAUGCGAGGGCUUGACGGUACCCCCAAAGGAAGCACCGGCUAACUCCGCGCCAGCAGCCGCGGUAAUACGGAGGGUGCAAGCGUUAAUCGGAAUCACUGGGCGUAAAGCGCACGUAGGCGGCUCGGUAAGUCAGGGGUGAAAUCCCACAGCCCAACUGUGGAACUGCCCUUGAUACUGCCGGGCUUGAGUACCGGAGAGGGUGGCGGAAUUCCAGGUGUAGGAGUGAAAUCCGUAGAUAUCUGGAGGAACACCGGU